rnacentral:rRNA from 1 species
AACGAACGCUGGCGGCAGGCUUAACACAUGCAAGUCGAACGCCCCGCAAGGGGAGUGGCAGACGGGUGAGUAACGCGUGGGAGUCUACCCAGAUCUACGGAACAACAGUUGGAAACGACUGCUAAUACCGUAUACGCCCUACGGGGGAAAGAUUUAUCGGAUUUGGAUGAGCCCGCGUUGGAUUAGCUAGUUGGUGGGGUAAUGGCCUACCAAGGCGACGAUCCAUAGCUGGUCUGAGAGGAUGAUCAGCCACACUGGGACUGAGACACGGCCCAGACUCCUACGGGAGGCAGCAGUGGGGAAUAUUGGACAAUGGGCGCAAGCCUGAUCCAGCCAUGCCGCGUGAGUGAUGAAGGCCUUAGGGUUGUAAAGCUCUUUCACCGAUGAAGAUAAUGACGGUAGUCGGAGAAGAAGCCCCGGCUAACUUCGUGCCAGCCGCCGCGGUAA